CUAUCUCAAGCAAAGCGAUUGCAGAGCAACUAGAAGAUGCUCUGAGGAAAGUCCGGGCUCCCUAACUAUUCCAGCUGCUGGAUAAUUUCCAGUGUGAUAUAAUCACGAGGAAAGUGCCACAGAAAGAAACCAAUCAAAUCUCCAUCGAAUGGCUCACAAGCUCUAGGAGAUCUUGGAUUGGGUGCAAAUGUAUUCUUGACGUGAGUUAAGCGUCUGGUAUACCCCAGUCGGGAGCAAGAUGAGGUUAGUUUAUAGAGAAUAGACCAUAGACUAAUCUAUUCCAUUGCUCGAGAGGGUUCAUACAGAACUCUCCAAUCAGAUAAUCUCCACACCUCUCAGGACCAAGCUAGAAACCAGUUUGAGCCUCUCGAGAUUUGUACCGAACCCGGCUUAUUUCUUGAGUAGUUGC
rnacentral:RNase_P_RNA from 1 species